ensembl:lincRNA Meg3 maternally expressed 3
GGAAAGCCAGGUUGUCUACCCCACAGAGUGCUUCUGAAGACCAAACUACAUAACUCACAAGAAAGUGCCUUGUAAAUCGCCCGGAAAUUGCAAAAAAAAAUCCUUAAUUAGCCAAUGAGGCUGUCCCUAUUGCCCAGCGGCCAGCCCUAGUCUCUCACAACAGUAAGCACCCAGUAGGUGCUGGGUGUCUUUGUGCUCAACAAAUAAUUUCCAGAAUUCAAACAAACAAACAAACAAACAAACAAACAAUAUUCAUUCAACAAACAUUUUCUGAGACACUGACCAUGUGCCCAGUGCACCAGGCUAUGGCUGAGGUACAAAGACAAUGAGAACAGUCUCUUUUUGGAGGCUAAUUAGUACUCUCAUUUCUACCAGCACUUUCUUUGGUGGCCUUUUAAACCAACCAUUUUUGUCCAGACAAGACCAAAAAAUAAAACAAAACAAAACAAAAAACAAAACAAAAAACAACUGGGUUGCUUUAGGGAAGCCCAGCUUGGAGUGGACAAUGAUGUCCAGGCCCCUGAAAGGGGCUGAUUGGAUUAUGAGGCAAAUGGAGGCAGAAGUAGCACACAGGAGACAAAUGCAGUGGGCGGAGACCCGCUCUGAGUUAAUCAGGCUGAUUGAAGGGACCCUUUCUGUCUUGCCGAGUGGCCGGGGGGCUCUCACUACUGCACUGCUCUGUGCACAUGGAGACUGGAGCUACCCUGGUCCCUCUCUGGCAACUGUCCAUUCAUUUGAUGCUCACAACUCCCUGUCCUGACCCAGGGCCGGCCUGCCAUCACGCAGGGAAGCAGAGGUCGCCAAGCGGUUUCCGACGGGGCCCCCCCACAUAACGUUAGCCUCGCGGUCUCUUCGGUUUUAGCAGCAGUGGACAUGAACCUGUUUCCAGCCUGCAUCCUCCAGUUCCUCUCGGGACUCCUGGCUCCACUGUGCUCACCUGGAGCCCCGCCCGCCCGCCUCCCCCUGUCCUCCUUCCUCGCCACUCCAGUGUCUGUCUUUCCUUCACAGCCCCGGCUUCUCGAGGCCUGUCUACACUCGCUGCUUUCCUUCCUCACCUCCAAUUUCCCCUCCAACCCACUGCUUCCUGACUCGCUCUUCUCCAUCGAACGGCUCUCGCUCAGGCCUGUCGCGUCUUCCUGUGCCAUUUGCUGUUGUGCUCAGGUUCCACGAGCUGCCCAUCUCCACAGAAGAGCAGCUGGCAUUGCCCACCGGCCAUGCCGGCUGAAGAAAAGAAGUCUGAGGACCCCAGGACGCCCAGCGCGAGGACCCCAGGAAGCCCAGCGCGAGGACCCCACCCACGACGCCCAGCGCGAGGACCUCACGCACAACCCUCCUGGAUUAGGCCAAAGCCAUCAUCUGGAAUCCUGCGUGGGACCCUGGACACACGGACACAGACACCUGCCCCCAGGACCCUCCAACUGUAAAUCGAUUGGAAGCGCCCUUGUGAGCUGGGGCCUUCAAAGGGCUGAGGAGAAAAUGCAGGCCGAGAGACCAGCUUCUCAAAUAGGCUUCAAGCCUCCAUGACCUGAGCUCACCCCCUGGAAAUGUCUGGAAAACAUAAUGGGCAGGUUUUCUGUCUUCAAAGUUUCCAUCAAAACCUCUUCAAGUUCUUUAUUGUUUAGGACUGAGACACUUGGGGACAGUCAUGGGGACUUUCUUUUGUAUCUGUCUUGAAAGGCCAAAAUAUUUUUAUAUUGCUGUAGACAAAGCCACCUAUUUACAAAUGGACUCUGUUCCGUCGUUUCCCACCAGGAAGACCGUACUAUGUUUGUGUCUCUAUGUAUUCAGGGGUCUUGAAACAGGUUUCUCAUGGGGAUGGCCAUUCACUAGAGCCCAGAGGGGCAGAAGGGGAAGUGUCUACCCUGCCAAGGGGGUCUGGGGAAGGAGGGGGGCUAGUCUCAGAUUUGCUCCUUGUAUGUCUAGGGUAAACCCUGGGAGAAUCUGGGGGUAAAAGAACAUAUGCUGUGUUUGCCCCACAUCUGCCAUUUGUGUGUGUUUCUGGGCUACGGGUUUGCACACUUUGGUGGUUAACAUGGUGGGAGGAAGUAAGAAGGGCCAAGAGGGCACGGGUGCUCUGGUUUUCUUGCUGGGAGGCUGUUUCACUGGUGUGUGUUACAUCACAUAAUGCAUGUUUAGCUGGGUGAGUGACAACAGUAUGAAGGAAUAGAGAGCAAGUCACAGAGUGCACAGUCACCAUUCUGUCUCACGGGUGCCCAGGCGUUUGUUAAAUGUUCAAUAGAAUGGUGAGCUCUGAUAGGCAGAGAGGGCCACGGACAGACUGGUAUUGGGUCAUCGUGGACCCAAGGAGUUUUUUUUUUUUUUUAAUUGAAGAAGGAAUCUUACAUAACAGAAGAAAGAGCUGUCAAAACGAGCUCUGAGGUUUUUGAAGCCCCUUAAUAUAAACAGACAGACAAUGGCGUGAUCAGGAAAGGGAGAAAACAAGCAAAUGAACAAGAUGCUUACAAAAUACGAGGGGACAUGUGAGCAUGCAAAGAGAACCCAGCUAGGUUAAUAUCGAGGUGCUGGUGGAUCGUUAAUCCUGUCUGGGUACCCCAGCUCCAAGGGGAUGAGAGGCAGCAAGUGAGAAAGAGAGGACACAUAGGAAACUGUAACAAGACAGGGGGGAACAGAUGAGGAGCUGCUUCAGGGCAGGGUUAAGCUAGGCUUCGCAAUCUGACCACUUAACUCUACCAGCAAAGAAAAGAAAGGCUUAAAUACUAAAAAGAAGGAAAGCUGGAAGAAAGGAUGGUAGAUGUGAAAGGCAUAGAGGAUAGAAAGCAAUAGGGAGUGGAGUGCAGGUGCUGUGGAGGGACGCUUGCAGGUGACUCAAUUCACCAGCCUGUGCAGCUGAGAAAGAGAGCCAGUGACAAAGGAGAAGAAGAAAGGUAACAAUAGGCUCACAAAUAGGUAGAUGAAUGUAGCUGGAAGGCCUGGCUAGGGGUGGGAUGAGAGGCUGUGUCAGCAGACUGGUUAAUUCCCGUCUGUGCUUCUGAGAUGGACAAUGACCCACCCGACCAAGAGACCUUUCAGGCAUCAAUAUGUCAGGGAGGGCUUCAAUAGGGCAAUGGAGGCGAGGCCCAUUAAUAGCAGAUUAUGAUGUAUCCAAUUAGGUGCACCUGCCCUCUGGAAGUGCAGAAACCAGUAUUGAAAUGAAAAGAAAGACUGAAUGGAAGUCCGAGCGUACAAAUGAAUGGAUGGGAAAAAAGAUUUGCAUUUGCUCUUAGGGGGAGGGUGCUGCUGAGCCCCAGGGUCAUCUGAUCUCCUGGAGAAUAAAAGGGCGAGGGAGUGAUAGAGACUAACAAUAAGAUGGGGAAGAAAUGAAAAGGAGUCCAGAAGAGAAUAAGUGGGGACAAUGAAGUCUAGGAGCGCGGCUUGUUUAACACAAGUCAUCCAUAUUAAUUCAAAAUUGAGGCCCUGGGAUGGGAUGGGCUGGGUCCAAGGGAUGAAGCUGUUGCCUAGCAUGUGCCAAGUUCUGGGUUCCAUCUCCGCCUGGCAAGACAAACACAGGAAACAAAAUUAUAGCCCAGAGGUUGUAAAUGUUGUUUUUGAUGGUUUUGGGACAAAGAGCUCGAUCAGUUGGAAGAUAGAGAAAUAGGAAGAGGUGGGAAAGAGUUAGAGGAACACAAGAGGAAGCAGCAGUUCUUAAGAUAAGUGUUUAAAUAUGGGGAAUGCGUAUCUCUUGGGUGUGUCAAGAUGAAAAUAACAAAAAGAAACAAGUUUAGGGAUGACCACAUAAGGAUGAGCCGGAAGCGGUGACUUUAGUUCAUCACUGUGGCCAACUCAAGCCCUGUCAGAGAUUUAAAAAAAUGUACAAAGGAGAUAAAGGAAGACACAUGCAAUACGGAAGAGAGACAGGACAGACAGACACAGCGAAAAGGCUGAGGACAUAAUGAAUAUCCUGGAGACAUGCCUGAGAGGGUCGCAUAGGGAGGAGAGAGAGAACAGCAAGAAUUCUGCUUAAUUCAAAACUGGGCUCCUGAGAUAGCUAAAUAUCUCCUGAACCCAAGCACCAGCACAGGAGAUUAAAUAACAAAAGAGCUGCAGGCAGACCCAAGUGGAGAAGGCUUGGGACCUUCAGAUCACGCUUAAUCUAAAUCUGUGCACCUGAGGUCCAUAAAUAAAAGAAUAAAUAUUGAAAUAAAGGAGUGACAGAAAGGAUGAAUGAGCACACAUGACUGAAUUAGAAAUGGAAAUGGCUAGAGCAGCCAAUAAGGAGUGGCCCAUGGGACUUUUGCUCAUCUUGUUCUGGGCACCUGAGGUCCUUUCGUGAGAAGUUGCAGGGAGAAGAGGGGAAGGGAAAGGCAUGAGAGCAAAUGAAAGAGAGGCGAGGAGAGGAAAUGAGAAAGUAGCAAAGAGGGGAAGCGAUCGGUGGGUGCCUCGGAAGAGGAAUGUCCACGAGGAUUAAUAACGAGGCUUUCAUUAAUCCUAAAGAUCGAUGAGGUAAUCCAGACCCAGGUUCUUAAGGGGAGGGAGAAUGGAGAGAAUUAAAAAAAAAAGACGCAAAAAAGGAGAGAAAGAUAAUAAAACAAGCAACAUGAUGAAUGGGUAAUUAAGAGAGGCUGUCUGGACAGAAAUAGUAAUGAGUUCCCAUGCAUAGUCCUUAAAUAGAUAAAUACAUUAUACCUCUCAAAGAAUGCGUGAAAAAUCGAAGAACACCAUGGCCCCCAAACAAGGCUGCACCUUCCAUUGCUGUAAUAAAAUACAUGCAGCGGAGAGCCAUAAAUAACGGAAAAUACUUAAAUGUAAAAGGUGACCAGAAAGAGGGAGAAGAUUGCAAGCCCAGAUACACGAGGGAGGCGAUGUUUGCUUUGCAUGUGUAAUACAAUUAUGUUCACAGGAAAUUAAUAGAUUUAAAAAAAAACCAUCCAAACUAAGACUGGGAGAAAAAACAAGGAAGGGAGGGAAGCGAGAUCUGAGAGAUGGGGCUGAGACUCCUGGGGUAGGCUCAGCAUGGCUUUGACUAUUCUGCACACCCGGACUUAGAAAAGUGAGUUUGUCAGGGCAGGAGGAGAGAGGUGAAAUCUGAAGCAGGUGGGACUGGGCAGAUGGAUAGAAAAGGAAUGGAAACUACACGAGAGGUGCCGGGGGGGGGGGGGGUCUAAAAUCUGAGGCUACGGCUUGGCUUGUUUAAAGCUGAGCCCUUGUUGUCCCCAAAGGAAUCAAAUCUUACUGCUUUUGUGAAGGAAGAGAGGAUGGCAACAAUAUUGCAGGAAGAGAGGGAAGGGGGUAGGCAAGGAGGCAGGGAGGAGCUUGCAUGUGCUAUUUGCUGACUGGGAUUGGUAAUAGAUAGCUCUUGGCCCACCACAAGCUGCUUCCACACAGCCUAACUGACUGGGAGCAGCUAUGGAUCACCAUGGCCAUUUUUUUGCUUGCUGGGGGCCAUUUCACUGUCUGUCACAUCUUCAGUCCAUAGACACAUCCCUGCACAGUGCCCUUUCCGUAGACGUGGAUAGGAGGGAAGGGCUCAGGCCUGGGGCUGUGGAGAUAAUUGUAUGAAUAGGGGGCGCUAUGCCCAGUGGGUACCUUGUCUCCUCUCUGGGAAAGGAUCUCUUCUGAUCCUGAUGUGAAGGGGCUUAGCCAGCCAAAGGGCAGGAGGAGGGCAGGGGAUAGGAGGCUUUGUCUGCUACUGUCUACCAUCUUGAGUGUGACUUACACCAAGGUGCAGACAAAGUGAGCUUGACCUGAAGCCCAGAGGCCCAAGAGGCCCCGGUGAAGCAAGUAUCUCUGAGAUUAAGCCUACCCUUCAACUCAGAGAGUGGACCCCUGCCUAGGUCCCAGAUAUGCCACCCCUGGAGCCCGUUUCAAGGCCCAUCUUCCAGAAUGUUUAAACCUGUGUAUGUAACCAGUAAAAUGGGAGUUUGUACUGUGUAUUGAAUCUGUCUUAUUGGCCUCCGUGGGCUGCUGGGGGAGACCUGGAGAGUUGUUUAUUCUAGUGUCCCCCAUCCCCUGGGACUCUUUGCUUCUGCCCAGUUUUCUUUCUCUGUUGUGGACAAGAUUUUGUAGAGUUGUGUGUUGUAUGCUUGUGUCUGACUAUUAAAAAAAAAAGUCACAGCCCUCCUUGACUUUUCAAUUCCUAUUGGGGGUGCUAAAAUCCAAACCAAACCAAUCCAAACCAGAUUCUUGUCCAGUGCCCAACAGGAGGCUAAUAGCUUGGCUGGAUCAAGGGAGCAUGUGCAGACCCAAGAACAGAGUGGACAGAUGGGCUCUACGGCAAGGGGGCUUUGAGGGCUGAGUGCAGGCUUAGUUAGAAGCUUAGAGAGAAGGUACGGAAGAUUGGGGAGGGUGGGGCUGCUGCUACCUGAGUUGCUGAGGGUCUGAGACACCAGCAAGGCGGAGGGGCCCCUGGAAGAAGCGUUUUGAGAUGACUGAAGAAGGAAGAUGGGCGCUCCCUACGCUUCUAGCUUCAAGGUUUUUAGCGUAGGCCCCGAUAGACGCCAGCCGCCUCCGAUCGUGGAAGACACAGCCUAACCUUGUCAGAAGCCACCUUCUGUGCCCCCAGCACCACGUGUCUGGGCCACGUGAGCAACGCCACGUGGGCCUGACGUGGAGCUGGGGCCGCAGGGGUCUGAUGGCCUCCUGUUUCAGAAUCUGGGGCGUUUGUCAUCCUUGGGACAACUGCUGACCUGGCUCCGGAAGAUUGUCCACACAAGUCUGAGUGACGGAGUGAGAUGAGGGGGCGGGUGGAGAUGCUCAGAAGAGAAUGGCCUUUGCAUGGGGUUCAUUUCCAGCUGUUUUAGAGAGUCAGCCAAGGUGACAAGGUGGGGUUGGGUGCAGAGGAGAAUGCUGGGACUACAUGUGGGCUACAGCUGUGAAGUCAGUGACAUGGGGCAGCAUGGGGAUGGGUCUCUAGGUGGGCCUUGUCUCAACCUUCAUGCCAGAAGAUUGGAGUGGGUACCAUGGGUUACUGUGGGUCAGUGGGAUCUUGGGAGGAACAAGGGCUUGGGUAGGUGACUUUGCCAUGUCACCUUGGGAUCUAGUUGCUUUGACUCUUAAUCUGAACUGGAAUAACAAAUGUCUCUCGGGGUUCUGAGAGUCCGCGGCAGGGUUCCCUAGGAUUCCUGUGGGGAGGGCGGUCUGCAUGUGCUCCCAGCGCUUCUGCCCGCUCAGGGCUGUCUUAGACAUAUUUGCUUUUCCUCUCAACAUUAUAAAAGAAGGCAAAUUUUGUCUUUUGAUCGAAAAUCCUAUGCAAACCACAACAUCCUUUCUCUGAUAAUACUGGGACCUACAGCUCUCCUCGGCUCCCCCCGCUACUUUGAGCCCACUUUUAGGGCAGGUAGGUCAAAGGCCCUGGUGUUUUCUGAGGUGAAGUUGUUAAUGUAAAGAUAUGUAACUCAGAGCAGGGGGAAGAAAGACAUCCCCAACUCUGCCUCCCCGUGCUCCAUCUUCCUUUCUGCCCUCCAAAUUCUUAUGAGCAGUUUUUUUUUUAAUUUUUUUUCCAUUUAACGGGCAUCUUUUUUUUUUUUUUUUUUUAAAGCUCCAUUGGCAGUGCUUACUUUUCUGUUGGUGUUUUGUGUCUGUUGCAAUGAGCAUCUUGCUGUCCACGUUUUUGUUGCUCCAUGGUCUCGCUCACCUGCUUGGGUUCCAUUGAAUGGCUAUGACGUCAUGAUCUACCCAUCUUACUGUUGCUGAUGCGUGUUCAUCCCCUUUCCUGUUUUUUAUUUUAUAUUACCGAUCACACCAUAACUAAUGGCUUUGCACAACCAGCUUUCCCAGCAUCCCUAGCGCCCCCUACAUCUAGCUCUUCCCAUGGUUCCUUUCUUUUCUCCUUGCUUCCUUCUGCUAGACUGUGAGCCCACUCAGGGCAAGGAGCUUGUGGAACUGUGCUCUGUAUUUCUUGUAGGAUGUCUAUGAAUGUUGACUGCAUGUGUGCGUGUGCGUGUGCGUGUGCGUGUGCGUGUGUGUGUGUGUGUAAGGGUGGAUAGGUAUGAGUGAUUGAGUGAUUGAAAGAUUGGCAGGCAGAUGAGAGGAUAGAUGAAUGGAUGAAUGGAUGAAUGGCUGAGUGAGUGAAUUAAUGGAUGGAUAUAUUCUCUGUGGUUGAGUUUCUUGGAUGAAAGGGUAACGAUGUUUGAAUGGCUGUUGGUUGAUUGAAGAAAGCCUACAGUAUUUUAUCUUGUCUGAUAAUGUAUUAGCAUUUAAACUGAUGUAUUAGUAUUUAAGGUGUCUGCUGACUUUCCUCGCCUCUCUGUUAAAAAAUGCUUUUGUGUGUGUAAAACUUGUUCUAAUUACUAAUGAAGGCUGAAUACUUUUCACCCAUGUUUGUUAACAAAUUGUAUCUUAUCUUCUGUGAACUGUUUGUCCAAGUCCAGUGGCUCAUGGCUCUUUAAGGCUCUUGGUUGAGGGUGUCCUUAGACUAGGCAAUGGCCUUUCAAAGAUAUCUACAGAAUGAUGUGGGAGGCUCAGCUGACUUCCAGGUAGCUUGGCAUUCGAAUUUACUUACCCUGGAAAACAGGGAGGCUGAUAUCUUGCACCAGCAGGUAGAAAACAUUUUUAGGCUUGUGUCUGGGUUCACCAUGCCUUUCUAGCUUAUGAGCCCUGACCUGUCCUCUGGACCUCUUGUGGUGUGGCAGUCCUCCACCUUGUCCUCCUGAGUGAUAGACUACAUAUAUGCCUCUCCCCUGUUCUGGGGUGUAGUCUCUGAGGCCAUUUCUUACAGGAACUGGCUUCUUAGUGCUCUGUCUUUAUACAUCCCUUAGCUCUAGUCUUCCUAUGCACCUCAGUGGCAGUUGUGGUCUUAAUUUAGGGAAUGAAUGAGAAAUUCAGUUCAGGACUGAUGUGACCCUCAGGUUAGUUCUAGGAGCAAGGCCAUUUUAUGGUCUCGGCUCUUCCCAUCCUGCUCACAGGGCAGUUAUAGCCAUCUGGGUAGGGUGUGUGUUCCGGGGGAGCUCAUGCUGCCAUCCAGAACUCCCUCCCACACUCUAUUAUAGCACUCAGCGUGUCUGCCUGUGUUCAGCCCUCUCACCCCAUGCUUAUCUGGACAUUGAAGCUUGGAAAGCCAGUGGUGACUUCAACUGACUUUAAUUCAUCCAUCCAUCUGUCCAUCUGGUUAUCCAUCUAGCCAUCUGUCAGUCAAUCCAUCCAUCCAUCCAUUCAUCCAUCCAUGCAUACACACAUUGGGCCUCCAUCACUUGACCUGGUGCUUUGGACCUCUCUCCCUCUCCUGAAAGCAAACCCCUUCACCUUGGGCAAGCUGUGUGAUACCAUGGGCUGUGGUCAUGAAGCAAGGGCCCCAUUCACAGCCUCCUCCUCCUAGGUCACGGCUCUGAGCACGUCCCAGCUGGACCCCUAUCACCACAGCUUUUUCUCCAUAAGGCUUCUCACACCUCACACCCUUCUCCUGUGAUCCCGGAGGGCCAGAUUCCCAGAGUGCCCUGGGGCUGGCCCUUCCCACCAUCCCCGGAGCUGCCUCCCCAGGCUUCACACUGCCUGGUGCAUGGUCCCUGUCAUGAGCUUGGCCUUCACCUUUGCAGCUUCCUCCACCAGAUGGCAGUGGUUGUGACUCGUGUGCCCAUUCCUUCGCACCUUCAUUCAUUCAUUCUCUUACAGCCAGCAAGCAUCUCUUUAAAAACAAAAAAUUAGCUAGUGCUAUACUAGAGCCAGCUCACAAGCACCCAUUGCACCGCUGUCCUUUGAAAGAAAAGAUGGGGACAUUUGUAAAGAAGCUGUGUUUGUGUGGCCAAUAAGAGGAGCUCCUUGAUUUCAAUUCAAACUUCAGGUCUGAGUUCUAUUGCCAGCUUGAUUGCUCUCUCCAAUUUUGUUCCUCACAAAACUAGGUUGAUUAGUAAUCAGCAAACUGUGUUCCCUGGGUGCUCAGAAAUCAUAGCCCAGAUCCUUAAGAGGCCCAAAUGAGGAGUGGACUAAGCACAAAGCAGCUGCCUCUGGCUGCAAGCAGGCUUUCAAGGCUGUGAGACACUCUGUUCUUCUACGAGGAUGAUCUGAGAGCCAUUCUGGCCACUUUGGAGCUCAGCUAAUGCUUGGCUCCUUUUUAGAGAAAAUUGCAGGAGAUGGUUGCUCGUACAGGUGACAAGGAUCAUGUCCCAAUGCCCUUUCUGAAUAAUCCAUUCGCAGACCCAGGCGAGCAAGGCACGUGGCACUUUGCAAACCCCUGUGUGUUUCAGGAGGACCCAUGCUAGGGGAGGCCUCCUUUCAGCUUUCUGCUGUGAAGGGGAAGAGGGCACAGGUCUCUUCUGAGUUCUCCUCCCACUGGAAGCAGUAGGGGCGGCAAGGCCAGAACCUGGAGCUGGACAAAUUGUGUGAUGGAUCUUGCCUCAGGGCUGUUGUGAGGAUUGGUAUAACUGGACACUUCUGACUGUGACCCUAAAAGGCAGUGUAUGUGUCCCUGGGGGUGUGCCAGAGCAUUGGCAACCCUAGCCCUGGAGUGGAGGUGGCCUUGCUUGGGUAUAGUGGGGAAUAGUUUGUUUCUGUUAAAUUUGUGUAUUUUCCUAUAAAAUAGAGACUUUAACACCACAGGAUGGGGGACUCUUUAGAUAGUACCCGUGCCCUCCGCCCCCCUCGGACACAUCCACACCUACCUCUAGGAGAGGUUGGGGUUGUCUUUAGCUCUCUGACUGAGGACCAAGCCUCUGACUCAGAACUGUAUAUGGCACCUAGUUACAUCCCUCUCCAAAAGGCUCUUCCCAGGGGAGCACUUGGCACGAUCUGGCAGACCCCAUUGUCCCUUUCCCAAUGUCCUCUCUCCCACUAACAGCAUCAGGCCAAACUGCCUGAGAUCUGGUGCCUACCACAGUGCCUGGCCAGGGGUAGGGCUUCAGUGACCUUCUGUUGUAUUUGUGUAGAUAGAUGAGCAGCUAACAAUUGUAACAGGUCCUAGGGGCAGAUGUGUAUGGUCUCAUUCAGUGGUUUGUAAUGGAGAAUGUAUCUGAACCCAUAUCAAGUCUCUCUUCCUUAACCUGUUAAGCAGCCACUGUUGUCCUGGGCUGCUUUUGCACCUUGCCUUGUUGUCUUUCAUGCUAAGUAAAGAAACUCCUGCUUUCUGCUGAGAGUCUGUUUCUUUUAGAACUCACCUAGGUGUGAUCUGACAGGGCCACUAAGCUGUGUCUCUGCCCCUCUGACCCGUAGUCUUCUUCUCUCUCAGGUGUGUGUCACUGGCAAGCCUACCUCACAGGGUUGUUGUGAGGGCUAAGGGCUGAUCGGCGGUAACAGUGUGAUGUCCAUGCUGGCUGUCACCAGGGAUGGUGCCAUGAUGGGGUUGGCUUGAAAUCACAACCUAUGCCGUUAUUAGUGGUCACUGAAUAAAGAGUCUCACUGUGGACGCUGAGGUUGUAUAUCCAGCAGUCGAUGUGGUAUUCAAGGCUGGCUGUGUGUGUGGUCCUGGCUAAAUCUGAUGUGGUUCAUUCAUGCAUGUUAGCGUCUAAGUCCCUCUGUGGUUCCCUGGCCUUCCCUUCCUUUCCAUCAUGGUGGCUGAUGCUGCAGGUUAUGUGAAGGCCAAGGCUGGCUGGGCCACUGUGCUUUGGGGUAGUAGGAGGGGUGGUGUCUGCUGGUAGAUGCUUCUUCAAGCUUGUGUUUCUGUGUAUGUGGUGUGUGCAUAUCUGCCCCCUGGGACAGUGCCAAGAACCAAGGGUCAAUAGAGGGGCUUCCGAAUAAUGACAUCCUUGGAUUUUUUUCUUACUGCUCUCUCACUUUUAGCUGGUAGGUCUGGACGGCUGUUCUCCUUCCCCCUCCCCCUUUCUUCCUCUGCCAGGAGAUGAGGAAAAUUAGCUUCUCUACACCCAAUUCUGCUUUGGACUGAGCUUAGGUUUACACACUUUACUGUUGUCCUCAGCAUGGUCCCGUUCUAUGGAUGGGCAGACUGAGACCCAGGGACAAUAGUCACAUUCCUGUGUGACUGACUCUUUCCACUCCACCAAAUAAAAUCUCAGCAAGCCCAGAGUCUUAGGCUCACCCCCGCCUGAUCCUGGCAUGCACUCAGAGUGGUCUCCUGUCUGCUUUGUGUCCCACUAUCCACCUAGUAGUUUCCUGGCAGGGUAAGGCUUGAAGGGAGGAGCAAGGAGGCUGUGUCCUUCCAGGUCUCCCAGUCCCAUAGUGUCCCAGUCAAUGUCUGUCUGAGAUUCACAUUUCCCACGAGGGACUUUCUAUGAUGUUGGACUUCCAUCCCUAGUCCUUGUCCUGUGAAUCUGGGCGAGCAGCCUUCUACUUUUCCACUCUUGUUCCAAGUCCACUUGUUCCAAGUCCACGCCAAGAAGCCCCCACCCCCACCCCCCCACCCCCCCCCGCGCGCACAGAAGCCCAGACUCUGCUCAGUUCCUUGUGUUACUCUGGCUUUCAAAGCCCUGGUGUCUCAGCCCUAGAUGCUCUUAAACCCUUGGUGUUGUCACUGUGUCCUCGGGUUCAGGAGCCUGUUUUUUUCAUUGUUCCCUCUGGCCGCCAUGUCUUUCCCUAUCAUACUCCAUUAUCAAAAUCCUGAUUCUGCCUCCCUCAGGCUGUGUCUGACCCUGCAAUGUGACUGCUACAGUUCAUCCUGUCUUUGACAACUUCUUGGAACCUUUGCUUCUGUGCUCUGGGGUCUCGUGGUAGGCACAUGUGGGUCGGGUCAUUUGCUCAGGUAAUUUUGACUCUGUGCCUAGGUGCCUGGUCUCAGAUGGGCCUUUGGUCCCUUGUGGGCCAGGUUUUUGGGUGACUAUUAGGUAGCUUGUGUCUCUUGGAAGUAACGAAAGGGAAACCAGGGGCCUGGCAAAAAGGGAAUGCUUAGAUUGUGACUAAGCUCUAGGCUUGCUCCAACUCAAUGUCACCCUGCCUCUUGAAGUAGUGGGCACCUAAUACUUGCUCCACGAUGAAGUAGGGAAGGCUAAGUGAAUGUGGAUAGGCGGGUGACGAGGAGGUCUUUAAGGACUUUCCCCAGGAUCUAGUCAGCUUCAGGAUACCCUUCUUGGUAGAAACACGGCUUUAGAGAUAUUAUGUCCAGAAUAAAACUUUCUGAGGGCUAAAAUGUCCUCAUUGAUAUUUUGACCUGAGUGAUUCUGAACAGGAGUUGUUUGGCAAUUCCCAAAUUCUAAGGUGGACUUGGCUGUGCCCAUAUCAUCACUGAGGCCCCUCUCCCAGGGUGAAAGGAGAUUAUCCCCCCCCCCAAAGCCUUUGUUCCCACCAUUGGUGACAAUCAGCAUUGACUUAGAAGUUACUGGUGAGGUUUGGAGUACAGCCUCAAGCACCUGGCAGUCUGGGGAGAUUGUACCCCAGACCUUGAAUUCUUGUUUUCUAUAGAGUGCUCCAUAGGCACAUGGGUGUGUGUGUGGGUUCCCAGGGUCUUACCCAUUUGGGCAUCAGACCUGUUUUUGUUUUUGUUUUUGUUUUUGUUUUUUUCUUCCAAAUGAACCUUGAGCAGCUUGCCUGAAUCAUCCCCAGCCUUAGUUUCUCUUCCUGCACAAAGGGUGUCAUUAGUGACUGCCCAUCAUAUGUUGGCUCAUGAGAAUCAAGGCCUGAGUUCUGUUCAUCCUUGCCCCUUGUAGAAUGUGUGGUGGCCUUGGCUGUUUGCCGUAUCCUAGAAAGAGUCAAACCAACCUGGUUUGAUUGGGGGAUUCAGUGAGUUUUUGUGUGUGUGUGUGUGAAAACUAGUGUUUUGUUGCUUGGUAUGCAGGUGCUCAUGUCUGCUAACCCAUACUGGCUGUUGUGGAGGUGGGUCCUGGGUACAGAUAUACCUUAGUUUCUGAAACUUCAGGUCCAUGUGAGACUCGGACAGAGUGGAGGGCAGGAGGGUAGCACCUACCCAGCUCUGGAGAAACAUUGCUUUCAAAUGUUAGGAUUCAGCAGUUUUGGUGGGAGGCAUUGAGGUACAAGUGGUGCAUUGAGAUACAAGACCAGGAAGAAUAUUUAGAAUAUUUAGAACACCCCUCUAGGAGGGCAAGGCCAAAGUCUUAGGAAAACCACCAAGGUUUAAGACUGUGAAUUGGCUAGAAGUCUUGGGGGUGGUAUAAGAAAGAUGGAAAAUCCUAGAAUAGGUCUGUGAGGUCAGGAGCUGGUGUGUAGGUGUUGCCCCACCCCCAUGGCUGCCUAGAAGUUGGGCCUUCUACAUAGCUCAGGCUUUCUGAGCACAGGGCUGGGUUGCCCCCUCCAGUUCCUACCCUGCCUAGUGCAUGAAAACUCUUAAUCUACCACGGGGAUGGGGAGCAGAUGGCUUCAUCUGCAGCUGUGUCUCUCUCAGCCUCCACAGCCACGGGGACGCCUUGCACAUUUCCUGUGGGACAUGCUGGACCCAAGACUCUGGACCCUGGCCUCCCCUUGAGUAGAGAGACCCACCUACUGACUGAUGAACUGUGCUGACCCUGGGGUCAGGCAUGUGGCCUUGAUCCCUACCCAUGGACCCUGAGACUUGGGGCGGGGGUGGGGGGAAAGGCUGUUGAGUCUUCACUGUUGAGUCCACAUCUGUGAAAUGGGCUCAGAUUCCUACCUCACAGGGCUGUUGUGAGGCAGCCGCGAUGUGCUUAGAAGCAUGGGGCCUGGUGGCUCAUGGUGCUUUCAAUAAAUUUCUUGUCUUAACUAAA